AUGCAUUCAUCAGAUAUUAAUUAUACAGCUGCUCUGUGUAAGUUGAUGAUCAUAGGGCCGAGAAACACAUAUGGAGAUGGCCACAGCUGGUACGGGGUGCCACCAAAAGGUGAAGAGAAGACUCAUAAGGAGCAGGGUAAUUGGAGGAAAUGGGAAAAGCAAAAAGUUUCAAGGCUCUACAUAGAUGGAGGAUUCUCCCAGAGGGAACCUGGAUUUAAGAGCAGCUUCCAGCAGUGGACUUUGCCCCGUGGCCUGUGGAAGGCAUCAGUGUUUGGUUUGAGGAAAAUUUCUCAGGUUCCACAGGAGAAUCUCCAGUGCUCUACAACUAUUAGCCUCCUCUUGUCCACCGUACUGCUUCCUCAGAUGUUUGCAUGGGGACCUUUUACCCAAGGCAUCUCCCAUUAUAUUAAUCACCAGGUGGGUAAGUUAGGAAUGCUUAUAGUUAAUACAUAUGUUUGUGUUUGUGUUUGUGUGUAUUUUACCUGCAGAAAGGACAAUCAUUCCUUAGCUUCCCCUACCAUCUUUAUAACACUGACCAGACUUUUGUUUUUAUUUAACACUUUUUAA
rnacentral:lncRNA from 1 species